GGAGGACCUAGAAGCGGACUCUGCCUGGGCUUGCCUGGGCUUGUUCAGAGCCGGGCUGCUUCCCUCGGCGACCACGCGGAUCCGGGGGGAUUUCGGGAUCUUGCGGGAGCCCUGCAGCCCGGCGCCGGCGAGGAGGGCGCUGGAAGCCCGCGGCCCUGCUCGCCCCGGGCCUCGGCGUCCACGGCCGGCGCAGGGAAGGCACAAGUGGAUCCUGAAAUUCAGGAGAAACGGAGGUGCUGCCUGCCCUUCUGGGAAUGCUGAUUCCCCUCGACCCAGACUGACAAUAAUUGUUAAGGUUAAAACAUCCGAGCAGAGCAUCACGGGUUCAUCUGUUUGGUGGCAGAAAGCUAAGGUGAGAGCAGGCUCCCACCAUCUCCGGCUGGACACCUAG
rnacentral:lncRNA from 1 species